CUUAACAUCAUCAAAGCAUCGUGGAUUAGGGUAGAAAGUACCUCAGGAUUGGAAGGAUAGUGUCAAUAUUUAAAAAUGGCGACAUGAGAUUGCGGUAACUACAGGGACAUCUCACUCUUCUCCAUACCGGGGGUGGGGUGUUCAAUCGUAUACUGCUGAUUAGAAUAAUAAAAUACGCACAAUAUUUUCUCCCCAAAGCUCAUUGCAGACUUCGUGCUGGUCGAGGAACAGUUGAUAUGAUUUUCUAUCUUAGCAGAAUCAGGAGAAAUGUCUCGAACAAAAUAUGUCCUUAUUUGUGGUCAUUGUCGUUUUCCAUGACAUUUGCCAAACUUACCAGAGCUACUAGAGGUGGGAAAUGGUGAAAUAUGUCGGUUACCCGGAGCACUUUAGAAGCUUGUUUCCGCACUUCACGCUGACAUGCGUAGCUCCGUCAUAUACAAAGUAGACCUGCCAGACAACUUAGAAGUUAAAACUGUUAAACAAGGCUACAUAUUGGCUCCAAUGCUAUUCUUCAUUUCUCCAACGUCCUGACGCAUGCUUACGAAAAGCAAAACCGCGUUAUCCUCAUUCAAAACUGUCCUGGAGGAGCUGAUCUUUUUAAUGUGAACCAAUUCAAGUAUAAGUCAAAGAUCAUACAAGUCUUGUCCAUGAACUCAUAUUUGCUAACGAUAUUGCGUUUGAACCUUGCAGAUGCAAGGAAGUCAAAGACAUCAUUACCAGAUUUUUUUUUCUCUCGGCCAAAGGAUUUGGGCUCAAAAUCAACAUAAGGAAUUCAGAAAUGCUUUGUCAACCAGUUAUCUGUGAAGAUAAGCAGAUUGAAAGACAAAGCCUUGUGAAAGUAAAAGAUCUCGGUAAAACUUUCAUCUAACAACAAGCUUGAUAUGCCAAGUUUAGCCUCGACCUGGAGUUCGAACCGCUACCCCGGGGAUCAUGAAAUUUACAAAUUUGGUAAAGGCCCUCCUGUUCUACAUGUUCAACAAUUUUAAACAUUUGUCAUGUUUUGCUCCCCGCAUAAGGCCGUGGAGGUACAGAAGUCCUGAAAUUUACAAUAUAGGUUCCCCUUGUCCCAAAGUUUCAUGCCAAUUUUGAAGUGAAAUGGAGGGUAGUUAUCUAUGGCAUGUCAAACGAUGAAAUAUUUUAUCUUGUUCAUUUGCAUUGUAUAAUUUUCCAUUUGUAUUCUAUAUUUUCCAUUUGUAUUGUAUAAUUUUCCAUUUGCAUUCUAUAUUUUCCAUUUGCAAAUUUGAAAAGAAUUGGAAUGGUAGGUAUCAAGGAGUUAAAAAUGUUAAUUGUUAACGCCCACAACGGAUGAUGACCAAUUUAGCAAUAAAUCUGACUCGGGUGACUUAAAAACGGGCCAGGUGAAGGAAACAAAUACGCUGCGUACCGUGCAGUGGUACUCUCCAGUUUGCUACAAUGCUUAGAAGCUUAGACUAUCUGUAAGGUCACUGCGCACAAAGUAAAUACAUACAUGUACAUGUUUCGUCGACUCCAACAGAUAAUGAAUGCAUCAAGUAGUGGCGACGAAUCUUCAAUACCCAACAGAAAAACCCUAGCACUUGCAAACCACCUGAGCUUGUACGAGAUUCGGGUGCAGAGAAACCUAAGCUGGGCGGGACGUGUGGAUAGACAGGAAAAUACCCAUCUUCAUCCUGUUCAACGGCACUCAAAGCACCGAUCAUCCAAUAUUCUAUUACUACGUCACAAAGACACACUCAAGCAUAUAGUGUCAAGGGCGUGCGUUCCGGAAGCUGGCGGAUAGUAAGCAAAGACAGACCGAAAUGGAGUGGAAUUAUCAUGAUUUUGCUUUAGUUAUGCAACGGAAGACUCCUGUACUUGGUGUAAAGGAAUAGGUAUGUCAUUGAGACAAAUUGGCUAUCGUGUAAGACGACACGUGAGGCCACCUUUGCUUUUACCCAGCCACAAAACAGCAGGUACGCAAUGGCUCACCAACGUUGGAACCUAACCUCUCGGAGGAAAGGCCAUUGGUCGAACGAAGAGUCGCUUUUUGCUACAUAUCACAGAUGGGGCGCACUUGUUUCAUCACCCGGGUCAAGCUGGUUGAUACUUCCAGAAGCGGGUAAGUAAUUUUUAAGCCGCUGGUCGACCGAAAAGUAGCCCAGAUCGCCCGAAAAAAUUUAGAGCGGGCACAUGGAAAACAAUAUAGCUGAAAAUAGAGAUAAACAUUUUCUUGCUCGUUAUUUAUCCAUUUUUCAUUCAUUAAAAGAGUUUAAACUUCAAUUAGCAUCAAGUAGCGAGGUAAGCUUUUUGAUAUUUUUGUUUCCGAAUGUUCGAUGAUACGAUCAACACUGCUUCUCUGUGGAUUUACAGCUCAGUCUGCAAUUUUUGUGAACAAAAUAUUAGAAUAGAAAACUGAUUAUCAAUUAUGAUUUUUGAACUUACAUGGGUAACAUUUUAUGAAAUCUGUUUUGCAGAUGUUCUUUGAAAAAUACAUAAUUUUUGUUUUUACAUUUAUAUUAUAUAUUUGGCCGAUUUCCCACUCGUUUCGCAAGACAAACCAGAUCUCAAAGUCAUGUGAUAAAAGUGAACCGGGUCGUCGCCCGGAUUUUUUAAAGAAGUGCGCCCAUGAUGGACGAAUGCGUGUAUGGCGACAACCUAGAACGAAAUUCCAUUCCAUGAUGGAUCAGUUGUGCGAGGCUGUGCUUCUUGCUACUGUAAGCUGGAUUUUAUCGACCUUAAUGUACAAAAUUACCAUACAGACAUUCUUGCUGCAGUCAUGUUGGCUCAUUUUAACCACCACCUUCUUCGGCCAAGACCAAUGUUUAUGGAUGAUAAUGCCAAACCUCAAUGUGCCGUAUUCAAGAUCACGUGACUUUCCAAAAGGAAUUUCGAAAGUAAACAAUGUAACAAGGGAAUUUAUUGGCGACGUGAAAGCGUGGACUAUUUGCGGGACACAUUCAGCUAUAAAAGACAGUCAGAUGGAAAAGUAAGGGAACCACUUUAAGCAAUGAAGGGGUUAAAUGUCAUGUUUCACACGCAAUCACCAUUCAGUACGACUACAUGAUGUUUUUAAUAUUUUUCUCGCGGGCUUGCGCACAUCCACCAUAAACGUCAUUCCGAAGAAAAUCACCGCUUUCCCCUUACAUUGAGUAGACCAGUUCUCCUUUCAUACCUGUAUAUAAUUUGUCGAAAUUGUCAAAUCGUAUUGUUUUUCCUACUUUAUCAUACUGACAAUUUAGUUCUGGUUUUUAACAUCGAAAAAUUACUGUUUAACUUAAAUACGGCACAUACAUGUAUACCUUAAAAGUUUUGAUUAUGAUUUUAUAUUGUUAAACUCGAGAAUAUUUCACUCAUAUAGAGACGUCACCAUUGCCGGAGAAGGGCUGCAAAAUUUAGGUCUAUGCUCGGCGCAUACGGCCUUUGAGCAGCGAGGAAUCUUUAUCGUGUUACAACUCUCAUCCGAAGGAUCGCCACAUUUAGACGCCUCGUGCGACAAGCUGAGGACCUAAUCGAACCUGGAUCCCCACGGGAUUUAAGGUUUUGAAGCUAGUGAAUGUUUUAUAAACAUGUGAUUGGUUGCUAUUGAUAUGCAUAUGCGUUCCGGUGUAGAAAUGCUAACCUAAAUCGACUAUGUACCCCAUUCUUCAUUGGCUUGUCAAAAUGGGUAAUUAAACCAUUUAAAACUCG